CAACCUUCGUCAGCGAUAAAUAUCCACAACAUCGAACAGGUCCUGAACCUUGAACGCUAAGCCGUGGGAACCGGUUUUGCUAACAGACACUGGAAACCUGACAAGGGUAAACCCCUGCGAGGGAUGAACACCCUCUGUUCUGCUCAACAAGAGCCAAAAAUGACUGGGGUGCUAUUCUGGGAGCUGCGAAGCAUGCACGCCGGAGCAGAAGGCAGCCAGCCCCUUGGAGCAUCAGCCGUCAGUGCUCAGAAUCAGAACCCCUGCCCCAUCCUCUCCCCCAAAUCUGACCCGAAGAAGAGUGCUGGGAAAGCUGGUGAAAUUCUCAGAAGUGUGGAUCAAACAAAGGUAACAGAUUUUGUGAUUCACGGUUUCUACAUAAGCCUUGAUUUUUUUUUUUUUUUCAGUUCACUUCUAGUCGAAUGCCGAAACCUAACAGGUUUUACAUUUACAAACUUUUUUUUUUUUGUGGACAAGGAAGGCUUUGACUCUCAUUCCUGACAGCGAUUUACCUGAUACAUGGUACUACUUUCAUAAUGUACGCUUUUCUUUGAGAAAAAAAACAUGUAACAAAUUGUCUUUACAUAUUGGCACCUUGUAAAGUUUUUUUUUUUUUUUUAUACAAAAGUUCAAUAGUUUGACACUCCCCAUUAUUAAUCACUACUUCACUGAUAAACUUUGAAAGUGUGACCCUGGAAUUCAUCAUGCAAAAUAUUUACUGCAGCAGGAGAAAAACAGGUGGGUUUUUUUUUUUUUUAAACAACUUUUUUUUUUUUUCCUUUCAAAUAUAUGAACUUUGUUUAAGACAGCCAGAAAAGGCAGUGGUAAGAUAACAGAAGGGGUGGGAAAGUAUCAAAAAAACCCAGCUUAAACACAAAAACUGUACAAAAAUGCGUCAAUCAAUGAUAACAGGAGAAAAAAAAAAUCUGUCAACUAUGUUACAAUUUAAAGCAAAAAACCAAAAAAAACAAAAAAAAAAAGUCAGGGAUUUUCUCCCACAUGUCAGCAAAUGUCAUCCAAUAUUCUUAAAGCAAGGAUAACUAAAUAAAAUACAUGUGCAGCAUAUUCUGCAAUUCCAUUACAUACAGUAGUUUUUUUUUCAAAGCUAUUUUUUUUUUUUAGUAUAGUUAAUAUAAAGCAGUUGCACAAAAAGCAAAAGGUGUUUUGACAAACAGGUAUGCAUUUAUUCCUUUUGAGGAAUGAUAUCUAAAAAAGGACCUUUCCACCUUUUCUUCCCUCCCCCCCGCCCCCAAAAGACAAAGGCUCACACAGACACAUUGGGAUAUAUAUGUACAACAUAAUAAACCCCACCCUAAAGAAGCAACUGUAUAUCCAAAGGGAUACAGAAUCAGAAUUGUAAAAAUCAUAGUGAAGUUUGCUUGAUGUAAAGCCUGAGAUUUUCAGUUGGUUCUUCUGCAAGGCUGUGACACCUGCCAGAUAUGUUAAAAUCUAAUUUUUUAUUUCUUUUUCUUUUUUUUUUCUUUUUUUUGCUACAGUCUUUAGACUAAGCAUGCAAGACAUACAACUAAGUGCAACUGAGUGAAAUGUAUUUUUUAUUUACUCAUUCCCUAACAGUUUGAACUGAGGUAUGCGUACUAACAGUUUCUCAUGCUGUUAUCUUUACUCAUGUCUAGCUACACAUGCUGAGAAUGAACUAAUCUACCAGAUUUUUAUCCCCUUUUUGAAUACCGAACUAACCAGCAAACCACUCAGUUUAGAAGCACAGGGAUCACUUCUCGUGAUCCCCAUCUGGCUACCGCCGGCACGUCAUGAAGCUGCCUGGAUAUAAUUAAAAAAAAAAAAAAAAAAUUUUUAACAGGUCCACAGACCCCCUUUUUUUUUUUUUUUCUUUUUUUUUCUUUUUUUUUUUUUUUUUUUUAAACAGAAAGCAGAGUUGAGCUUUAGAAAAGUAACUGCCAAUAAUUAUUAUCUUUUUUGUACCAAAGCUUGAGAGUGGACAGGAGUGUUAUUUCCUUAUGAAACAUGCUGACCGAAACAACUAAACAAAACCGAGCAAAUGUGCCAAGAUAAACCAAAAUUAAAGCUGCCAUCCUAGCACAAUCCUUAAACAAAAGUGGCAUACAAUCUGUAAAACCAAAGACCAAAACAAAAAUUUGUUUUACUCUAGAAAUACUAUUAUGUGGUCCAGUUAAAUUGUGGGAGCUUUUCUGUUCUCUUCUGGAUUUUAUUAAAACUGUCUCCUUUAUUUGAUACUCUAAUUUUCUGCAAAAGAACCGUAUGUGUGCGCGUUUUUUCUCUCCCGCUCCCUUCUCACAGCUCCUCCUGUAACACUGUUUCCUAGGCUGAGUCUCAAAAGCUCUCCUCGAUUUCUCGUUACAGAAUUUCAGUUUGGUCGCUUUAAAGGAACACGAAUAAAAAGUAACAACUUUGGUUCAGUCAUCUACUUGGCCUUCUAAAUUUACUAGAAUAAAGGAGCAGUUUCUCUCUCGGAUUAGCAAUAGCCCAUAUCUUGUCAUUUCCCUCUAAAUUCUUCAACCUCCUUUGAUCAACAAUAAGAGGAUAUUUGGCUUCAUAAGAUAAAGCAUAUAACAGAGAACAUAAUUUACCUUUGUGUAAUAUCUUUGGUAAUUUUAGAAAAAAAAAAAGGUACAAAGAAGAAUAUAAAUUAAGCUCUGAAAGGCUUUUUUUUUUUUUGUUGAAAUCAUAAAAAAAGCUACAGUCCUACAUAAAUAAAUGAGUGACAGAAAAGUGGCUGCAGAAUGAAAACGUUUAGGUGUUUGGUGACCAAGGUUUACUGACCUAUAACAACAGCUUUUUUGUCUGUAAUGUUUGCUUCGUCGAGCACUGCUAGUUUUGCCAAACAAGCCCCAGUCCUAGCUCUUGUCCUAUAUUCACUGGUUUCUACUAUGAGGUUUCGAUACUGGCUGGUGUAAUAUUGCAUAACAAUCUUAACUGCAGUACAGGAUUUGCACAGUUGAAAUUAACACUUUAGCAUUAGUGGGCUCAGUCCUUAUUAACUCCCGUAACAAGUUCAAUCUGAAAUCUAAUUUGUAUUCAAACAGAUUAAUGCCAUCGAGCAAUCCUGAACUGAUGUUGAACUGCGAAACAUCACCGCGUACAACAACAGUUUAAUGAAGUCAUCUUUCCAACCACUAUUUGGAAACGCAAAAAAAUUUAAAAAACAAAAACCAAAAAAAAAAUUAGCAUUGUAAAUGUAUAGGUACCCCCAUUUUGGUAAUCUUAGAUAUUCCAGAAAGAUUUGUUGGCCCAUUAAAACUCAUGUUAAACAACUGAGAGCUUGCCACUGUAGUAUUCGUUCUCUAAUGAAGUGAGUUCUGUUGGUGCUGCAUAUGUUUCUUUGUGCUGUUCAAUUUUGUGGCAUUUGCUAAUAUUCAACGUUGCUGCCAAAAAAAAAAAAUAUAUAUAUAUCAAAAAA